GAUGAACGCUGGCGGCGUGCCUAAUACAUGCAAGUCGAGCGAACAGACGAGGAGCUUGCUCCUCUGACGUUAGCGGCGGACGGGUGAGUAACACGUGGAUAACCUACCUAUAAGACUGGGAUAACUUCGGGAAACCGGAGCUAAUACCGGAUAAUAUAUUGAACCGCAUGGUUCAAUAGUGAAAGACGGUUUUGCUGUCACUUAUAGAUGGAUCCGCGCCGCAUUAGCUAGUUGGUAAGGUAACGGCUUACCAAGGCAACGAUGCGUAGCCGACCUGAGAGGGUGAUCGGCCACACUGGAACUGAGACACGGUCCAGACUUCUACGGGAGGCAGCAGUAGGGAAUCUUCCGCAUGGGCGAAAGCCUGACGGAGCAACGCCGCGUGAGUGAUGAAGGUCUUCGGAUCGUAAAACUCUGUUAUUAGGGAAGAACAAAUGUGUAAGUAACUAUGCACGUCUUGACGGUACCUAAUCAGAAAGCCACGGCUAACUACGUG
rnacentral:rRNA from 1 species